UUCACCCUCCUUUUCAGCAUCCUCACCCUGCCACUAGAUAUGAGCUAGAGGACAUGAGUCUGUAUACGGCAGCUCUUACGGCCCAAGUGCAAACUGGAGGUACAAAUACCUCCCUUCCCUCUGCCGAGUGCGUUCUGCUUCCCCAUCAAGCUAGCAAGAGAGCCGAAAUUAUGAAUGGCCUACAGUUUUUCAGGUUAUCUCUCUCCGUACGUCGCAUCUGAGCUAAAUACCAGCCCCGUGGCAAGGCUGCUGAAUGACAUGUUUGCACUUAGGCAGUGAUUCAUGAACUGACCCCCAGAGGAAACCAUCAGGAACAUGCUCCGUCACGCUCCCUCCGGAGGAAAGCUCUUGUUUCUUUUCCUCUUCCCGUGGCACUGCAAGACCUUGAGGUGCCAAGCUGUGAAAAUCAGGCAACAUAUUUAAGCAGCUUAUUUACGCCCCUGAGGACUCUGGCUUGGAAAAUAAACAUGAGAGUUUGUAAUGAGACAGGGACUGAAGGGAAGUGCUGCCAUCCCACCUGACUUCUCAUCUCGCUCCUGGAUGCCCACCUUCAGGAGGUGGUAUUGCCAGGCACCGUGGCAGCUGAACCCUGCUGCCCUAUAAGUCCUGUUUCAUUAAAUGCUUGUGGAUUGAAUGGAAAUGAAAUGAAAAUGGUGUCUUCUCUUG